GUGAACGCUGGCGGUAGGCCUAACACAUGCAAGUCGAACGGCAGCACAGUAAGAGCUUGCUCUUACGGGUGGCGAGUGGCGGACGGGUGAGGAAUACAUCGGAAUCUACUUUUUCGUGGGGGAUAACGUAGGGAAACUUACGCUAAUACCGCAUACGACCUACGGGUGAAAGCAGGGGAUCUUCGGACCUUGCGCGGUUGAAUGAGCCGAUGUCGGAUUAUCUAGUUGGCGGGGUAAAGGCCCACCAAGGCGACGAUCCGUAGCUGGUCUGAGAGGAUGAUCAGCCACACUGGAACUGAGACACGGUCCAGACUCCUACGGGAGGCAGCAGUGGGGAAUAUUGGACAAUGGGCGCAAGCCUGAUCCAGCCAUACCGCGUGGGUGAAGAAGGCCUUCGGGUUGUAAAGCCCUUUUGUUGGGAAAGAAAAGCAGCAGGUUAAUACCCCGCUGUUCUGACGGUACCCAAAGAAUAAGCACCGGCUAACUUCGUG
rnacentral:rRNA from 1 species